ensembl:lncRNA
UUUUUUUUUAAGCUUCAAGCUGGUAAGUGAUAAUCUGUGCAGACAAGAUACUAGAAAUUUGGCACAUCCCAUCUACCACAACAUAUUGAUUCCUUCUACAGAAGGCACUAAAUACUGGCAUAAACCAAGAAAUGAUCAGCAAAAUGCAGUUUUAGUAUGACACACAAAAAUCCUGCUAACUGGCACAGCUUCACAGUACAAUUUUCACUUACCUAAAAUGGUGGUGAUCAUAGCAGCAAGGCUGAGGAUUUUUACAAGUAUCACGUAAACGUACAAAUGUCAGAACAUCUAGAAGACAUGCAAAAUUUCAAGAGCAACAUCACUGAAUCACACAAUGCAUAGAAUUAUUAUUAAUAUUAUUAUUAUGCAAGAUAGUGUAAUCUUUUUAAUAAACAAAAUAUAUUUUAAAACCUACAAACAGUUUACAAACUGUUCUUAAAAAAAAAGUUGUUACAGUCAUUGAGUGAGUGUUAACCUUUUAGAGGUUCAACUCUAAGAACAAAUAGAUCAUUAUGGAGAAUUCACAGUUAGGUGGAAAUUUAGUUAAGCAAAAUAUGUUUAUCAGCUGCUGUUUUAGAAGAAACUGUGCUAAUCUUGUCAAUUUACAAAAUGGCAAAAAAUACAUUCAUGUUAAAAAAUUUAGAGAGAUUAAACAUUGCAUGCAGGGAAAGACAAAAUCCUUGUGUUAGCUGUUUCUCCUAGCACUGCUCACUAUACCAAGGGUUGUAACAGCAAAAAUGCUCUUCAAAGACAGAGUUAAAGCCUGUAGGUAAUUAAAACAAAUGGAAAAUAUUUUCUAAUUCUGGUAUAAAACAAAGUAGGAUAUUAAAGGAUAAGGAUUACUCUUGCCUUCUUUAAAAAAAAGGACAAAAACUUCCAUUGUGUUUGGCAGGCUUUUCCACUGCCUUUCCAUUGCUUUUUGUUUGACUUGGAUAUUCUGCUACUUCUUUUUCUUCCAGUAUUGAGUAGUUCUUCUGCCUGGACAGAUCUCAAGAUGAACCCUGAGAUGGAUGUGCCACAUGGACAAAAACAAGCACUAUGGCCAAGUGAUGUCCUCUCCUGCACACCUCAGACUCAUUUCCAGUGAGGCUAGCCAUGCGCCUGGGGAGGAAAUGCAGGAACAGCGCAAACUUGGUGGAAGCAGAGUCAUGGGCAUGCACUUCUCACAGCACUCUGCAGAAGUGGCACCAAAUUCUCUCUGGCAGCAGCACCACCCAGCUUGCAGGUACUGCCAUAUAUAGGUGCAAAAUCAGGUUCUCACCAUUUCCUCCCCUGACAGCUUUCAGAUCUCAUUUCAUGUUUUGUCUGCACAUCUCUGAAUGCCUUGAAUACUUCUGCACCUGUAUUUCACAUCCAUGCAUCCAGCCUUGUGCAGAGGAACCCAGUCUUUCAAGCUGCUCAUAGAGAAAGCUCCUGAAGAAGGCAAAGCUUCCAAGAUCUGAAUCAUAGGCACCAGGCAGAAAACAAAGGUGUCCACAAGAUGACUGAUACUGCAAUCAUUGUUCAGUGCACCUUUAGCCUUAGAGGCACUAGGAUAUUUGUCUCCAUACACAAAAGUUAUCAAAAUCAAUUUGAAGCCAUUUAGUAUUUGAUCCUUGCCUUCCAUAUCCACCACUGAUGGUAGUCAGGCAAUGUUGCCUGCAUCGGUUUGUUUUCAGGAUGGAAAUUUACAUAUAGAAAGUGAAUUAAAUGUGACAGCAGAAGAGAAAGAGGAAUCCUAGCAAGCAGGAGCAAUGUGGAGCAGACCAUAACGCUACAGGUGAUCUAGGCCAGCUGAGAACAUGCUAUAAUGGUAACAAGAGCAGUCUCAGCAAGAUUACAACUUUCAGAAAGCAGAUAAAAUUCUAGGCAUGAGCCAUGUCAGAGAGUUGUUUUUUGUCCAUUAAAAGAAAAAAAAAAAAAAAAAAAAGAAAGAAAGAAAGAAAGAAAGAAAAAAAAGCAGGAAAAGGAAAAAAGAAAAAAAAGAAAAAGAAAAGCAGCUGAAGUGGCGAAGAUAGUAUCUGUUAAAUUAAUUACUUUAAAGCACUUAGUCUUCUAUUUUUUCCUAAACAUUUUGUAUUUUUUUGAUGUUUUUUCCUUCACUUGACUCUCAUGUUAUUUCAUUGACAUUUACAGACUGUAUCAAACAGUAGUAACCAAAAAGAACUCACAUAUUCCUACAGCUUUGUUUAAAAGAGCUAAACACCUCUUCUCAUUUCAACUAAAAGUACCCCACUGAAUUUCAAAGAUAGCACCUACCUUACCAGUACCUUAAAUACUGUGAAAUAAACCUCUUUUAAUUACAAAAGAUCAUAUUGAAAUCUGAAAUGGUACUGGUUUUUCAGAUAGCAAUAAAUGCUGUUUAAUAAAUGCUGAGCACAAGAAUAAAAGAUUAGCCAAAAGCAUCCUAAUAUCUUUGAAACAGUAAGUCCAUUUUUUAAUGCACAGACAACUCAUUUAGUGGCAUUUGUAUAAUAAAAUAAAUAGAGUUUUGUAUGCAUUACCAACUACCAUUAAUCAGCUGAGUGAGAAAACAGAGAAAAUAAAUUAAUUUCUUGAGACAGAGAUCCAUCAGUUCAUGUAAAAAGAAAAUUUUGUGGCAAAUGCGUAUUUUCCCACAUCAGUUUAGGAAUUAAAGCUUUAGACAUUGCCACUGCUUCAAAUAUGUUCCACUUGAGAGGAUAGUGUCAAACUUUUCAACAAACUCAUAGGUUUCUCUGGGCUGUGAGGCUUCACGGCUUUGCAGGAUUUUCCACUGUAAAUGCCUCUCUGCUGCUUCCAGGAAGAGUCAAGGUGCUGGAGAACAAUGGCAACAGGGCUUUGCAGGGCACCAGUCAUAGUGCAGUGGGGAGGAACAGGCUGGAACCUGGUUUGCAGGAGUGCAGCUGGAAGCAGUGCAACCAUGCAACUCACUGGGGGCUCAAAGAACUUGUCCUCCAAAGGGUCACUCCUUCACCAGCUGUAGUUACACUCCUCUGAAAGAGGUGGAACCCUGGGACUCUGGGGGCCCUUAGCUUUCCAAAACCCUUGAAGAAGUCAAGCACAGCCUCAUGUGUUUUUCAAUGCUGUUCUUUGGAAAUUUAAUUUCAUUUAAAUGUGCUUAAGGCUUUCUCCCUUCUUGGCUUGCAGAUGCCCAGCUGAUAGGUGUGUCCUUGAAAAGUUGCUCCUGGGCUCUCUGUUUUUGGAGAAUCAUGCUGCAACCUUCAUGCUGGCUCUGCACAGAGCAAAGAGACAGCUGGAAGACACCAGCUAUUACAGUGUCCACAACCACCAAGACAUGGCUCAGCACGGGGACCAUCACCAGAAAGCAUAGUACCAAGUUCCUGGCUAGGAAAACAGCCGUGCUUUACAAUGGAUGGUCUCUUCUCUCCACUCUUCCUGAGUGCAGAAUUCAGCCCACAUAGGAAAGCAGAGAAAUAAGAGAAAAUACAUCCUGCCCCUUAAGAACAAGGACAGCAAAGAACCAUGGUGACAUUUAGCAAACAACCCUCAUUAAAAAGGGCAGACCCAUUUCCUGCCAUGUUUCAUCGUGAGAAAUCCUUCUCUAAACUAAUCCAGAGGGAUGAACUGGCUCGUUUCAGAAAAACAAAAUGACAGUUCUGCAUCCUGUAGGUUCUCUUUUUUAACACACGUUCACACUGCCUCUGGAAGUUCAGGGAGCUAGAUGGGUCCUAAUGCCCCGUUGUUCGCACCAUGAACUGAACUCCUCUCCAUGACUGAGGGAGCCCAGAAUUUGCAUACUGUUGAGGACCAGUCAUCUCAGUGCUAUUUGUCAGUCCAUGAUGUCAGUGGAGCGCUACACAGCACACAGAUGUGGGCCUGGUCCUCCACAAAGGAAUAAAUUCCAUCUCACUUCAUGACUUGAAAGCCUCUCACAAAAAGCAGGAGAGGGAGGAAGGAGGGUGCUUCCAGCAUGCAAGAGGCAAGUCUCCAGAGUGCUCACACAAAGUAUCCCAUAACCCCACAUAUCCCACGCGAGGUGGUCCACCUGAGCGUGUUAUCCCCAAAGCACAAGGUCACUUGAUGGGCAGGGCUCCCAGCUAAGAGCAGCCCUGCACAAAAUGGUCUCCCUGCUCCACAGUGCAGACACCAGGAAGGAGGAAUAUCUGAGGAUCAGGAAAGGUGAGGGGAGUGGAGCUGUUUGGGUUGGGGCAGAUCAGUCAAUCACAAUCAUUUGCAGCUGUCAGAUGAAAUGAUCAGCCCAUGCAUCACAUGUGCUAGCCAGGUCAGUCAAUUCACUUAUGGGAUGUACAUAGACAUGAUAACAAGAAAAAGUAAAAUAUGAGCUGAACAGGAAGAAACCUAGUGCAACAGGAAUCUCAAAUUUCCUUUAGAGCUGUCUCAGUCCUUAGGGCAGCCUGGGCUCUAGAAUGACACAGCACCUGCUCUUUCUGAUCCCCAUCUUACCACCCCCCACAUCACUUGCACAAACAGCAGAACAAGAUUUGGUCACAAACAUCUAAGACACAAACACACAACAGUACAACACUGCUUGUGUGUCAUUCCCUACACAGCUUUCUAACAGGGUAACGAUUUUAUAGAGACUGAGUAUCAGUCCAUAGGAAUUUCUAAAAAGAGCUUGAAAGUGUUGAUACUCUUCAUAAAGGAGAACAUGCAACAGGGACACAGAUUCCAUUGUUAGAUUAUCCUCUAUGUCAGUAGCCCUGAUGCUGCUAUCACAGAAUUAUUGCAUUAUGUAAGUGAACGGUAUGUCCUGUUAUUUUAGGUAAUCUUGAAAUUUAGUUUACAGUGUAGUUCAUGACAGUAUUUCAUUCUCCUGAACUUAAAAAUACAUUUUGUUGCAUAAAUACAUUUCUGAAAAUAAAACAAGCUGCUUGUGACACCCAGGCAUCACAGACUUCAGUUUCCAUUAACUGCAUGAAGACAUGUAACAUUGUGCAAAACCACAACAUCAUAAAUACAUGCACGGAUGACUAAAAAAACAGAGCUUACACCAUCCAAAGUGUCCACAGCUCUGCCCACCUACAUGUGCAAUCAUGUGAACAGAUCCAAAUGCAUGUAAUGUGCACAGCUGCAUCCAGAUCAGUCCAGUGACAUCCACAUAUAAUCCCCAUGUUUGACUCUUAUUGUGGUGUCCUGAGAAGGCCAUGUGGGAAAGUCAGCACUAAGAUUAGUGCAGACCCCUUUGCACCGUGUAGGCCUGUGCUUUGGCACUCAGCCUCUUAUCUUAAGUUCAAGACCAAAUUUUGCUCUUGGUAGCACUGAGAAAAUCUCCCCAAAGCCAGUAGAUAAUUCUGAAGGCAUCUAAUAUAUCUACAAAUGAUCCAGAAGAGUCAGAAUUUGCAUUAUCCUUUUGAUGGGUUUCUAACGGGAUGAAGUAUCUGAGCCAGGCUAAUGACUCUGUGAUGCUGGUAGACAAACACCAUCCUCUGUCUCCCCAAGAGGGUCUGCACCUCAAUUUUUUAGCAGAUUCAGCUCAGUACAUUGACAGAAAAUUAUCUGACUUCCCCCUUCUUUUUGCUGUGUUUUCUGCUGGGGAGCUGAGUUGAAAUCACUCACUGAUGAGAUCUAACAUCAAGUCAAAGAAAGGAGAGUGGCAUUAAAAAAAAGGAAGGAAAAAGAAAAGAGAAAAGCAAGCCCCAUUUUGGAGCCAGCUAUCUUCAUCUUAGGGAAAUCACAGCCUCACUAUGGGGCAAAAGCUCAGCUUUUACUUCAGAGUAUGAUGUAGGCAGGAGUGCAGCCACCCACCUGCAGUACCUCACUGUAGCCACUGCACCCAAGUACCAUCAUACAGCCUGUUCUGGACAGGAGCAGGACACUGUUUUGCCAGCUGCCCUUGAGUUCAUGGUAAGAGGUUCUCAGUAACAAGAGCCAAGGCUGUAAACCAUCAUUCUUUGUUUAGGCAGAUGGACAGGAAGGUAAGACUUGGCAGCACUAGUCCCUGGCCACACUGCUGUAUCUUAGCACCAGGGAAACUGCACACCAUCGCUGUGAGCUUGCAACUUGCUGCCAAAGCAGGUGUGAUACCCUCAGUCAAAACUGCAAAAAACUUUGAGUUGUCCUCUUUCGCCUAAAAUAAAGAGUUAUGAUACCAGUAUUAGACAAAACCACCAGAGCAGUUCAAACCCACCAAGACUCCCUCCCAGACAGUUAAUUACCUUUCACAGCCUUAAUACAAAUGGUAAUUAGAUAAACGGGGUUCACUUAAUUCCUUUAACUGUUCACAAAUAAAGACUGAAUAAUAGGUUGUAUUAAAUGCCCUUCAAAACUAGUAAUCUUAUUUUUGUAGUAUAUUACUUGAGUAUUAUAUUUUGUCCAUAUGUGUUUAACUUCUUCAGCAAGUAGUCUGUGUGGGACUGCCUCACCAGAACUUACCAGGCAACCUGUCAUCAGCAGUGCUGGAGUUACUACAGACAUCACAAAGCAGAACAAAACUAUUCCUAUAAUCACAGAAUCAGAGUAUGGGUAAGGUUGGAAGGAACCACAGUGUGUUACCUGUUUCAAGCUCCCUGUUCAAGCAGGGUCAUACUAAAGCACACAACACAGGAUUGUUUUGCACAUAAUUUUCAAGUAUCUCCAGAGAGGGUGAGUCUUCUCGGGGCAAUCUGUUCCAGUGUGUGAUUAGAGAGAUGCCCCAGUGCCUUAAUCAUCUUUGUUGCCCUCCCCUGGACCUACUCCAGAGCUUCAUGUCUCUUUUGUAUUAAGGAGCCCAGAACUGGACACAGCAUUCCAGGUGAGGCUUCACCAGGGCUGAGUAGAGGGGCAGGAUCACCUGCCUCAACCUGCUGGCAGUGCUCUUCAUAAUACAGCCUAGGAUACCACUGGCCUUCUUGGCCACCAGGGCACUGCUGGCUCAUGGAGAGCUUGUUGUCCACCUGGUUCCUUCUCCACAGAGCUGCUUCCCAGCAGGUCACCCCAGGCUGUGCUGGUGCCUGGGGUUGUUCCUCCCCAGGUGCAGGAUCCUGCAUUUGCCUUUGCUGAAUUUCAGAGGGUUCCUCUGUGCCCAUCUCUCCAGGCUGUCAAGGUCCUUCUGAAGGACCUGGGGUACAUGGAGUAUCAGCCACUGGGGUAUCAGCCACUCCUCCCAGCUUUGUGUUGUCAGUGAAAUUGCUGAGGAGGCCUCUGCCCCUUCAUCCAAGUCAUUGAUGGAUAAGUUAAACAAGACUGGGCCCACUAUUGGACCAUGGGAGACACCACUAGGAACAGGCCUCCUGAGCCUGUGCCACUGUGCCACAGAUCUGGGAUCUGCUGUUCAGCCAGUUCUCAAUCAACCUCCCCAUCCUCCCAUUCAUUCACUCUUUCUGAGUUUGCCUGUGAGAGACAGUGUCAAAAGCCUCACUGAAGUUGAGGUAGACAAGAUUGCUGCGCUCCCCUCAUCCAUUCACAUAGUUGUUUAAUUGUAAAAGGCAAAUCAGGUUCGUCAAGCAUGAUUUGCUUUUAGUGAAUCCAUGCUGACUAUCCUGAUCACCUUUUUCUGUGGAUAGAAGUGGCCUCCAGAAUGAGGCAUUUCCUCACCUUUCCAGGGAUUGGGGUGUGGUUAAUCAGCCAGUAAUUUCCUGGGCUCUCUUUUUUCCUUUUGAGCACUGGGGUGACAUUUGCUUUCUUUGAUCUGCAGGCACCUCUCCAUGACCUUUCAAAGGUGAUCAUGAGUAGCCUCAGCUGUGGGGUCCACCACAUUUCUAAGCACUUGUGGAUGCAUCCCGUUAGGGUCCAUGGACUUCUGGAUGUCUUCAACAUUUCUCCCUCCUUGACCUCCCUUCUAACAUUCCUUUACUCUGGCUUCCUGGGACAGAGAUCCCUGAGCGCUGGUGUUGCCAGUGAAGACCAUUGCAAAGGCAGUGCUCAGUAAUGCUGCCUUCUCUACGUCCUCUGUUACCAGGGCCCCUCCUUCAUUUAGUAAUAGGCCCAUAUUAUCCUUUCUUUUCCUUUUGUUAUUGAGGUAUUUGCAGACAUCCUUCUUGUUGUCCUUGGUGUCCUUGACCAGAUUUAAUUAAAGUUGGGCCCUGGCCUCCCUCAUGGUAAUACUGAGGCUAUCACAAUAAGUACACACACUCCAGUGCUAAUCCCCUAACCAGACAAGCAAAGGUUGCUCAUGUGCCCUGCUAAAGUCAAGGUACAAGAGAUGUGGCCUCACUGCUGCUGGACAUCAGCACAAAUCAUCCUAAUACUGUGGUAAUCAACAAUUUAGGCAGCAUGUAGAGUUAAAAAGUAAUGGGAAAUGCUUCUUUUGACCUCUCAGCUCAAAACCCAGAAGUGCCAGUCUUCUUUGUGUUGAGGCUGAAUUAAAGCACUGAUGUGAAGCAACACUUCAAAGAGCUGCUUGCAGCACAGCACGUGCCCAGCCAGGGACCAGCCUCCUCAGAGUAAAGGGGUGGGCUGGGCAGGGGAGGAGAGGUGGGAAACAGAGAUCUGCUGCCCCACAAAGGCCAGCUGAUACCCAUCUCCUCACUGCAGAACAGGAAAGGAAAUACAGGGAACUAUGUCAGAUACUGCAAUAGCUGUCACUGGGAAGUGUUGAGAUGAGUACUGGAGGGGAGAAACAGAAUCCAGACUUCCCUAGAGGUCAACUCUAUGGUCGAGCUCUCCUCACCUGGUACUUUGAGAAAGAUCUUUGGCACCGAAUGCUCACACUCCAGCACAUACUAAGCUCCAUGAGUCCUCAGAGGAAACCUGUUAAGAAAUCCCAGAACAACACCUGUCUUGCAAAACUAUUUGUCACUGUAUCACACUAAAAGCACUGUUGUGAAAAGGCAAGGCAGUACAAAGAGCAAUCAGAUGUCUGGCCUCAUCUGGAAACUGGGCAACUGUCUUUCUGGCUUCACUUGAAAUCUGUGUUUCUGUCUCCUUCACUGACAAGUCAGAUAUGCCAUGGCACUGCAAGUCACAUACAUGCCUUGCCAUCACUUCAGCAGAGUCAUAAUUUGGCCUCAAGACCCAAAGCCAAGUUACAAAAGGAGGGCUCUAUAAUAUGAACAACUGCUUGUGCCCACUAAUCCAGUACCUACCCUGAGACACAGCGGAUGGCAAAUGGAAGACUGUAGAAUUGGUGGCAACACUAACAUGGAGUGUCAGACACAGGAAACCAGACUUUUUACCAGCCUUGCUACAUGUGGAAAAAAGAGAUCACAGCCAGGUUGUGUCACCUGCAUAAAGCUUCCCGGGAGGACAGAUAUUUAUUAUAGUGGAAAUCUCUACCUUUAGACUUUUCAGUGCCACAUCUGCUACCUAUUUCAUCCCCAAAACAUACCUUCAGUAAGGCUUAAGUGAGGUGCAGACACUCUGCCACCUCCCUCUCACACAGGAAUAUUUC